GGAGGAAAUGCCUUAGCAAUCACGUCCAUUGAUUGCGGGGUUGAAACUUUAACUUGGUUAUUUAGUCGUGAAGCUACUAAUGCUUUAUGUAAGUAAUUCAAAGCGGGAACCAAAACUGGUGCAGCAUUUGGGAUUGCGGUGAGAACUUCACUUCCCACAGCAAUAGCCGUAAUAUUUGUUCCGGGCAUGUAAGCUGCUACAUUUCUAUUUACCCAAGCAGCUGCAGUUGAUGGUGAUUCUCCAAUCCCUAAGACUUCUUCAUUUGUAACGCCAAUAAUAACUUCGAUACUAGUGUUGGCUAAAGCAUUCAACAUAUGAGCAUCAGCAUUAAAUAGGCGCACAUGAGUUAUCU
rnacentral:misc_RNA from 1 species